UACAUUCUAUAUUAACAUUAUUUAGCUUGUAAUCAGUCAUUAGUUCUUGUAAAGUCAUUUUUUUUACACUUUACUAUUACAGAUUUUCAGUAUAGACUUUAUAUUUAGGUGUGAAUUGGAGCAGAAAACUUUUAGGGGCUUCCCUGAUGUUGCUACGGAAACUAGAAAAAAAGAAAAAAAAAACUAUGUAAGUAUGUAAAUUGGAUCAGUGAUGUAGAACAGUGAAAGACUUUUAUAUAACCUGCUGCUCACUUGCCCCAAACAGAAAAAAACUCAGCAACCUCAACCGACUUUCAUGUGGUUUUAAAGCUCUAUUACGGGUUGUUGUGGCCCUGACCUUUUUGCUGUCCUUGCUGAUUGGAAUCUCAUCAAUCACAACACAAAGACACAGUGUUCACCCUUUUGGCUCAAUCUAGUUAAGUACAUCUUGUUAACUUGAUCUAAUCUUGUUCUCAUGUAGAAUUAAGAAGCUUACUCAUGACUGCCUGUUUAAAGACAAUGGUGCGUUCAGGUACAUUUCCACCAAGUUUAUUUAUUUUUUCACUCCUAAUCCGUAAAUAGGAGCCUUGAUAAACCUACUUACCAUGAAAGUACGCUGGCACAGUCUGAACAUUCUAACCUACUCUACUCUACCCUUCCUGUAUCACCGCAUGACAUCACAAGGUGGAACAGAGUGUUUACAGUUGGAGAGAAGAACGCAAGGUUUGUGUGUUAAACAGAUGUAAAUGAAACAAAACACAACUCCGGGUAUGUUUUUAAUGAAGAAACAACAUUAAAAUGUUAAAAUCUGAAAAUAGGUCAAGUUGUGCCAUUUAAAAUCAAUGGUGCAUUCAGGUACAUUUCCACCAAUUUUUUUUCUUUUUCACACCUAAUCCGUAAAUACGAGCCUUGAUAAUACUAUGUACCAUGAAAGUACACUAGCACACUCUACUAUGACUACUAUUUACUAUAAAAGUAUGUUGGCACAGUCUGAACAUUCUAACCUACUCUACACUUCCUGUAUCACCUCAUGACAUCACCAGGUGGAAUAGAAUGUUUUCACUUGGAGAGAAGAACGCAGGGUUUGUGUGUUAAACAUGUGUGAAUGAAACAAAACAUAACUCCGGUUAUGUUUUUGAUGAAGAAACAACAUUACAAAACAUUGAAAUCAGAAAAUAGGUCAAGUUGUACCAUUUAAAAUCAAUGGUGCAUUCAGGUACAUUUCCACCAUGUAUGUAUAUUUUUUCUCUGUAAAUAUUAGCCGUGAUAAUACCAUUUACCAUGACGGUACUAUGGUGCAUUCUGAACAUUCUAACCUAGAUAGUCCUUUACUCUUAUUCAAUGCAUUCUUCUUUUUAUAACAUGUUGCGUUAUAAUUACACGGUAAAGUGACUAACUAUAAUGUCAGUUAGUAUUGUUAGUCAACUAAGUAUUUUUAUUUUAUUUUUAUUAGUGUGUGGAGAUUCUUGUACCAUAACGUUAUUAACCUGGUAAAUUUUAGGUCCUAUGUUACGCAAAACUGAGUUUUGUAAGCCAUGUUAUAAUGUUGUUACCUCAUCAAAAUCAUACCUGGAGUUGUGUUUUGUUUCAUUCACACAUGUUUGAAUAUUGAGCGUUAUUAGACUGUCUACAUCUCCAAACCCCACAAUGCUCUGUUGCACCUUGUGAUGUCAUGAAGUGGUAGUUGUCAAAUUAACAGCAACCUUAUCUUUUAUUCUGUAGAAAUUGGUAAUUCCAAGGCUGAGAUCAUCUAAAGUAUUCUAAUGAAUUUGUGUGACGUUUGCAAACACACUGGAGCACUUCCUGUAUUGCCACAUGGCAUCACAAGGUGGAACAGAGUGUUUUCUGUUGGAGAGAAUAACUCUAAAUAUGCAGGGUUUGUGUGUUAAACAUGUGUGAAUGAAACAAAACACAACUCCAGGUCUGUUUAUGAUGAAGAAACAACUUUAAAACAUAAAUGAUAUAUGACUUUAAUGGUGCAUUCAGGUACAUUUCCACUAUUUUUUUUAUUUUUUUUUUUUUUCCCACUCCUAAUCUGUAAAUAGUAACCUUGGUAAUACUAUUUACCAUGAAAAUACAUUGGCGCAUUCUGAACAUUCUAACCCAGAUAUUUAAAGUCAUAUUCAUUGCAUUCCUAUUUUGUCAUUUGUUUGCGUUAUAAUUACACGGUAAGGUGACGUCAGUUAGUAUUGUUAGUCCACAAAGUAUUUUUAUUUUCUUUGGUGUGUGAAGAUUCUUGUAUGAUGACAUUAAUUCCAAGGUACAUUUUUAUAUAUACUCCUCAUUUUAUCAUUUGCCCAUCAAAUCUUUUUAAAUGUUGUAACAUUUUGUGACAAAUUUUCCAUAGAAAUUGCAUUACAUUGCAGUUUGUUUUAAACUGUUUUACAGAAUAAGAAAGACAAAACAUGUAAUCACCAUACAAUUAACAGUAAAAGAAAAGAAAGAAGGGUGUGGAAUGAAAAAACAAAAUAAAAACAAAGGAUAAAUGCACAAAUGUUGAACGUGGUCAUUUCUAUUACUGACUAGACCCAAUAGGUCACUGUAUUACAACAUCCAUUUAUUUUAGCUUCCCCCUGUCUCUGUGAAACUUUAUUGGUCUAUAGAAUGUUGUGAAUGUUUUGAUGUUUGUGACGAUCUAAAAUCCAGCAAUUUAGUCUGAACUCCCGUCUCAUUUUAUAGACCAAAAUCCAUAUGUAAUUUAACAAAUUUUCAUAUACAACAAGAUUCACUUUUUACUGUUUUAAACAGUUCUGAUUUAAAAAUGUACAUGUUUUAGUGUAUUCGGGCAGUUUAUUUCACGUACGUUACAGCAUAAAGUGAGGUCAGCAGGGAUUAAGAAAUCGCAUCCGGGAAAAAACACCUGUAUCUAGUAUGAACCAGACGUACAUUUCAACAGAAGGAAUGACUUUGGUGUAAAAUAACUGACCAGUAUUUUGAAAGAGCGUGACUGACCUGACAGUGAACACACUGUGACCUGGUGAAACAAUUUCUGCAUUUGUAGGGAAUUUCUGGAUGAACUGGACAGAAGAGUGAAAGCCAAGCAACCUACAAGUGCCACACACUCAUGAAAUAUUCAGCAACAGACUUGGGAAGAACUUUCUGAAGAAUAUUUGAUUUCUAUUGUAAAAAGAACGAGCCACGAGUGUGUUCAGCUGUUAUAUCUGCCAAAGAUGGACAUUUAGAUGAAUCAAAAGUUUAGAAUAUGUUUUGGUCAAAAGUAAACAUAAGAAAUUGAGUGCACUACUUUUUGGUAGUGCACUUUCGAUUCAGUGCGAUAUAUUUCAAAUUGAUUUGGUUAAAUAAAAAAAUAAAUCAUGGUUGUGAUACUAA